rnacentral:rRNA from 1 species
UACGUAGGUGGCAAGCGUUGUCCGGAAUUAUUGGGCGUAAAGCGCGCGCAGGCGGCCUCUUAAGUCUGAUGUGAAAGCCCCCGGCUCAACCGGGGAGGGCCAUUGGAAACUGGGAGGCUUGAGUAUAGGAGAGUAAGAGUGGAAUUCCACGUGUAGCGGUGGAAAUGCGUAGAGAUGUGGAGGAACACCAGUGGCGAAGGCGACUCUUUGGCCUAUAACUGACGCUGAGGCGCGAAAGCGUGGGGGAGCAAAACAGG